GCCCCCGUCGCCCAACGGACAGGGCAGCGGCCUCCUAAGCCGCGCGUGCUGGUUCGAUUCCAGCCGGGGGCACCA
rnacentral:tRNA from 1 species